UUUAAGAUGGGUAUUGAGAAAGUGGGUGAGUUCAAUUUGGGUUGUCGAGGAGGAGAGAGAGAGAGAGGAGUGAGAGCGGUUUCAGAUGGUGGCGGCGGCGGCGGUGGGAUGACGGCGGAGUUAGGGAGUUGGAUCGGAGAAGGCGGAGCUGGAAGGUGGCGGUGUGGUGGUUUGGGAAUUGUUCUUGGGAGUUUCUUGAAUGUCAUUUUUG
rnacentral:lncRNA from 1 species